GUUAAAUAUUUUCCAGGGGUAAAAUACUUCAUCUUAAGAAAGUGUACCUUUAAGUUGAUGUUUUUCAGCUGCUAAAAGCUGGACUCUUGUUAUGUUACUACAUCAUAAACUAACAGAGUAAGACAAUUUCCUACAUGCAAGCUUAUGUUACUAACAGAAGCUGUUUAUCGGUAACUUGUUUUUCAGUAUUACUUCAAAUCUCCAAGGCAAAAUCUGAUUGCCUAAUGAAGCUGCUUGUGUCAUAACCCCAAGGCUAAUGAUUCUAUCUUCAUAAACUUUGUGACAUGAGAAGUGCUGUCCAGCAAGCUCCACCGCAAAACAAGCGUUUUUUCCCAACAGCCCUGGAAGCAGUGUGAGUGUAGGGAGUGACACAACCGCCUGCAUCUGAGUAUUCUGAGUAGUUCUAUUGAAUUUAGUGGGUCCAGUCAGAGUAAAUAAAUCUAUGAAGCAUCAUGGCUUUCUUCAUUAAUGCUUCAGCUCAGCUGGAAGCUGCCGGCAAAAUUAAGUAUUGUUAAAAUUGUUUGGGAUGUCACAUGAUACUUCCAAAGUAUGAACUGGAAAAAUAACUAACCAUGACUUUUACUUCAAUGUGUAAUCCUGCUGUUAAAGCAAAUUGCCUUGUGAGUAAUGCAGUCACUUAAAAUAUAGUCAUUUUAUCUAUUAUAGUGCUUUUAAAAAAAUCUGAUAAAUUGUGCAUUUCCAAGAUCUGA